UACGAAGGGGGCUAGCGUUGCUCGGAAUUACUGGGCGUAAAGGGCGCGUAGGCGGAUAGUUUAGUCAGAGGUGAAAGCCCAGGGCUCAACCUUGGAAUUGCCUUUGAUACUGGUGAUCUUGAGUCCGGGAGAGGUGAGUGGAACUGCGAGUGUAGAGGUGAAAUUCGUAGAUAUUCGCAAGAACACCAGUGGCGAAGGCGGCUCACUGGCCCGGUACUGACGCUGAGGUGCGAAAGCGUGGGGAGCAAACAGG
rnacentral:rRNA from 1 species